UGCAUAUUUUCAGAAUGAGACAUCUGGUGGUGACUUUUGGCAAAACUAUUAGUAAAACAUUAGUUCUUUCGUAGCGUUUAGGUUAUAUUUAGACAAGUUUCGAUAGCGAUUUCUAGCGGUUUUUGUGUAUUUUUUUGGAUUUGUUCGAGUGAAAUAAUGGAAAUCCAAACAUUGUUCGGUUUCUUGAAAAUAAAGUUUGAUCAUUUCACUAAAGGAAAUGAAGAAAAAGGCCAAGCCUUAAAGGCAGCUGGCCAUGUUUUUGGACUCAUUGAGAGAGGUGGUGUAAUAAGUGCUACAGUGAUGAGGCAGACUUCAGUGAAUUUGCCUCCUUAUAAUGUGCAGAUCACGCUUGACAAAGAGAGAAAUGUGUGCAAUGCAUCUUGCUCCUGUAUUGCUGGCAUUUCAGGGCAUUGCAAGCACAUAUCAGCAACAGUGCUCUGCGUGAAUGAGGAAGAUUCGUCGACCCAAACGAGUAGGCCUUGUACUUGGAAGGAACCUUACGUUGCCAAAACAGCCAAGGCAAAGUAUAUGAAGGGGCAAAGGUUUACCGAAAUAUUUGGUGCACCGAAGAGGCAGAACAUUUAUCCUCCUGUGGAAGUGACUGCAGGAAUGGUAACCUUUUCUACCCCUUCGAUGCUGCAAUAUAUGUUAGGACCUUCAAGUACAAAGUGUUCUACCAGUAUCACGCAGACACCUACCAGGUUGUAUAAAUACUGUUUGAACGAGCCGAAAUCGAGGCCUAGCAAUUUUGAACAUAUCAUAUAUUAUUCCUUAUUUUAGUCCUUUUUGUUGUGGUCUUUUUGUGUUUGUUUCAGGAAUAUUACGAGUAGGACAUCACAAGCUGCUCAUGAUGUGAGGGAUGUCAUCAAGCAGAUCAUUUUGAAGCAAGCACAAUCAAAAAUUCUGAAAAAUCUUUAUCAUGUUGACAUAGAUCUGCAGAAUCAUUGUUGUAGAACUACCUACAAUCAUCACAUACCGUGUGAUUCUGUAGAAGUAUGUUCUGCAACAUUGAACUGUAAGGUCUUAUGGAUGAAGCAGAGAAGAUUCAGAAUAACUGCUUCAAGAGCGUAUGCUCUAUUCACUUAUAAGGGAUCUGACUGGACCAGCAAGUGCCAAAAAUAUUUGAUGAAUGUCCCUUUCAAUAAUAAGUACACACAGCAUGGGAUUGAUUGGGAACCUGAGGCCCGAUCAGUUUAUUCAAGGGAAAAAAAAUGCUGCGUUGUGGAAACAGGGCUUGUGGUUUGUCAGUCAGAUCCCUGGCUUGCUGUUUCUCCCGAUGGUGUGAUACUGGAAAAUGGGGAGCCAGUGAGAUUAUUGGAAAUAAAGUGUCCAUUCAUUGGUCAAACAGUAUCCGCUGACAAAAUCGAGGACCAUUGGCAAUAUUUAAAGAGGGAAAAGGGUCAACUAGUGUUGAAGGAAUCAAAUAAAUAUUAUGCCCAGGUCCAACUGAAUAUGGCAGUUUUGAAUUUGGAGAAUUGCGACUUCGUGAUUUUUUCAUCUUUGGAUAAGAGUUUUAAAACUGUGAAUGUGCCAUUCAAUGAAGAAUUCACAAGAAAACUCCUUGUGAAACUGAAAAUCAUUUAUUUCAGACAUAUGCUUCACACAUUGUGCACCUUAAAACUUUAACUUUUCACCUCUAUGAUCUAAGAUACAUGGAAUGGCCAUUCAGUGCUAUGAAUGAAUUUUUUGUAGUACACACAUUCAAUGUUUCUUUGUCUUGCACGACAUUAAGGCAGAGGCAUUCUUCUUAUUGAAAAUGGAUGUGACAACAAUGUCUGAGUCCACUGUCCCAAUUGUAAUUGACGACACUAAGCAACUAUCUCACUCCAGUCUUUGGAAUGUUUAUUUUCCAUUCCAUGUAUCUAUGGUCACUACUCACGGGGAGACAGGGUUUUUUUACUGAGGUUUUUCCCUAAGCUCUUGUAUCAUACUCCAAAUUGUAUGUUACCCCGUUACACUAACCUUUGCUAAAACUCAUACGCAUGCUAUAUUGUUUGAUAACCAAAAAUGUAUUGCUAACAUUCAAAAGAACUCUAAUACUGUAUACCUUUACCCAUAUGGUGGUUGAAGUAAUAAAUAACACUGUGCUUUUCACAAAUGGCCAUCGACCGAAGUCCUUCGGCCUGGUUAAAAUAACUAACUCAUUUUAGUGAAAAAUUAUGUAUUUCUAUUUUCUACUUCAAUUAUUGAUUUUCAUCAAGUAUCAGGCACAUCAAUUCAAUAUACUAAUAAUAAUGCUCAUAAAUGUUAUAUACAGAGUGUUACAAAUUUACAGUGCAUGUAGGAAAUGCAAAAACAUGUAGAAUAAUUCAGUGAAAUUUCUAGGGAAAUGGAUGUACAUAGCUUGAUUUUAAUUGUGCAUGCAUAGUAAAAAUCAUGUAACUCAGUUUCUAGUUUAAUCAUAGAUUUGCAUUAAGUAUCGAGCACAUUCACAUUCAAUAUAAUUAGGCUCAUAAGUUUUAUUUACAGUGUUAUGAGCAAGUGUUACAAAUUUAUAGUGCAUGUAGGAAAUGCAAAAAUUGAUAGUUUUAGUAAAAUUUGUAGGUGAUGGAUGUACAUAUGUAGUUUGCUUCACAAGUCUAGUGAAUAUCACGUCAUUCACUUUCUACUUUAUUUAUGGAUUUUUAUCAAGUAUCAGCCACACUAAUUUUGAAAUAUAGUUUUGAAGAAAA